rnacentral:rRNA from 1 species
ACGUAGGGCGCAAGCGUUGUCCGGAAUUAUUGGGCGUAAAGGGCUCGUAGGCGGUUGGUCACGUCUGCUGUGAAAUCGCGAGGCUUAACUUCGCGUCUGCAGUGGGUACGGGCUGACUAGAGUGUGAUAGAGGAUGGUGGAAUUCCCGGUGUAGCGGUGAAAUGCGUAGAGAUCGGGAGGAACACCAGUGGCGAAGGCGGCCAUCUGGAUCAACACUGACGCUGAGGCACGAAAGCGUGGGGAGCAAACAGGA